rnacentral:misc_RNA from 1 species
GAUGAAGUACGCAGCGAAAUGCGAUACUUGGUGUGAAUUGCAGAAUCCCGUGAACCAUCGAGUCUUUGAACGCAAGUUGCGCCCGAAGCCAUUAGGCCGAGGGCACGCCUGCCUGGGCGUCACACGUCGUUGCCCCCCCAUCUACUCCUUCGGGAUUGCGGGGGGCGGAUGAUGGCCUCCCGUGCGCCUCGCCGCGCGGUUGGCAUAAAUGCCAAGUCCUCGGCGACGCACGCCACGACAAUCGGUGGUUGCGAAACCUCGGUUGCCCGUCGUGUGCGGUCGUCGCGCAUCGAGGGCUCGAAAAAAUUGCCGGGUUCCGGCUCGGCUUUCAACGCGACCCCAGGUCAGGCGGGGUUACCCGCUGAAUUUAAGCAUAUCAAUAAGCGGAGGA